UUCUAUAAGAUUAGCAAAUCCUUCCAAAUCUUGCAAAAUCUCUCUCUCACCUCACUCCCUCAUUUUCGAUCACCACCUUCUCUCCCUCAUCUCUCACUUCACCUCCAUUGACAACCAUUAACGAGACCUUCGGAGCUUCACAAAAUCACACCAAAAACACAAAUCACCCUCUAAAUCUUACACUAAACACUUCCACCUCCUUGAAUUCAAGAAGAUCUUUGGAGUUUGAUCUUCAAAGUUAGAGAGAGAAAGUUUGAUAUUUGGUGUAAACUUGGACACGAGCAGAGCAAGGAAGUAAGUAACUCCGCUUUGACGGGAGAUUUUGAGUAAGGUCUUCAGAUUAAGCGAGGAGCGAGAUUGGUCUGGUGCUGGUGGGGAAUUGUUGGAGGAUGUAUUUACUUUAUCGUAUUUCCAUUUUGACGAUAAAGUCUUGAUGAUUGAUAUACUUUGAUUUUCUUUUGAAUUUAAGCAAUGUACUCCCUGUUAUAUGUCUUCAUACAUAUAAUCGAUUCGCCUUUUGCUGCGAUACUCUGCAUAUUAUGAUUCCUUACGAAAAAUGAGCGAUACCCGUUUUGUUUUUGUUCAUGAAAUUCCUGAUAAUUAAAAAGUUAUAACGACGUUGACGAUUUUA